rnacentral:rRNA from 1 species
UACAGAGGCCUCGAGCGUUAGGCGGAAUCACUGGGCUUAAAGCGUGUGUAGGUGGAUGCCUAAGUGCCUUGUGAAAUCCCACAGCUUAACUGUGGAAUUGCUUGGCAUACUGGGUGUCUUGAGCCACUCAGGGGCUACUGGAACAAACGGUGGAGCGGUGAAAUGCGUAGAUAUCGGAAGGAACACCUGUGGCGAAAGCGGCUCACUGGACCAUAACUGACGCUGAGGCGCGAAAGCUAGGGGAGCAAACAGG